UGAUGUCUAUGGGAGGCAGCAGUGAGGAAUAUUGGUCAAUGGCCGAGAGGCUGAACCAGCCACGUCGCGUGAGGGAUGACGGCCCUACGGGUUGUAAACCUCUUUUGUCGGGGAGCAAGACCCGCCUCGUGCAGGCGGAGCGAGAGUACCCGAAGAAAAAGCAUCGGCUAACUCCGUGCCAGCAGCCGCGGUAAUACGGAGGAUGCGAGCGUUAUCCGGAUUUAUUGGGUUUAAAG
rnacentral:rRNA from 1 species